UACGUAGGGGGCAAGCGUUGUCCGGAAUUAUUGGGCGUAAAGAGCUCGUAGGCGGCUUGUCGCGUCGUCUGUGAAAUCCCGCGGCUCAACCGCGGGUCUGCAGUCGAUACGGGCAGGCUAGAGUUCGGUAGGGGGAGACUGGAAUUCCUGGUGUAGCGGUGAAAUGCGCAGAUAGUCAGGAGGAACACCGAUGGCGAAGGCAGGUCUCUGGGCAUUAACUGACGCUGAGGAGCGAAAGCAUGGGGAGCGAACAGG
rnacentral:rRNA from 1 species